rnacentral:rRNA from 1 species
GACGAACGCUGGCGGCGUGCUUAACACAUGCAAGUCGAGCGGUAAGGCCCCUUCGGGGGUACACGAGCGGCGAACGGGUGAGUAACACGUGAGCAAUCUGCCCAUCACAUCGGGAUAACUCCGGGAAACCGAAGCUAAUACCGAAUACGACCACCUCCGGCAUCGGAUGGUGGUGGAAAGUUCCGGCGGUGAUGGAUGAGCUCGCGGCCUAUCAGCUUGUUGGUGGGGUAACGGCCCACCAAGGCUUCGACGGGUAGCCGGCCUGAGAGGGUGACCGGCCACACUGGGACUGAGAGACGGCCCAGACUCCAACGGGAGGCAGCAGUGGGGAAUAUUGGACAAUGGGCGAAAGCCUGAUCCAGCAACGCCGCGUGAGGGAUGACGGCCUUCGGGUUGUAAACCUCUUUCAGCAGGGACGAAGCGCAAGUGACGGUACCUGCAGAAGAAGCACCGGCCAACUACGUG